UCCGUAGGUGAACCUGCGGAAGGAUCAUUAAAGAAAUUUAAUUGAUUUGUCUGAGCUCGGAGAGAGACAUCUCUGGGGAGGACCAGUGUAGACACUCAGGAGGCUCCUAAAAUAUUUUCUCUGCUGUGAAUGCUAUUUCUCCUGCCUGCGCUUAAGUGCGCGGUUGGUGGGUGUUCUGCAGUGGGGGGAGGGAGCCGACAAAGACCUGGGAGUGUGCGUGGAUCUCUCUAUUCCAAAGGAGGUGUUUUAUCACACGACUCGACACUUUCUAAUUACUACACACAGUGGAGUUUACUUUACUACUAUUCUUUUGUUCGUUGGGGGAACGCUCUCUUUCGGGGGGGAGUUCUCCCAGUGGAUGCAAACACAAACAAAUAUUUUUUUAAACUAAUUCAGUCAACACAAGAUUUCUUUUAGUAGAAAACAACUUCAAAACUUUCAACAAUGGAUCUCUUGGUUCUCGCAUCGAUGAAGAACGCAGC
rnacentral:rRNA from 1 species